rnacentral:rRNA from 1 species
CCCUUGGUGGGGAAGUAACUAGUCGAAAGAUUAGCUAAUACCGCAUAAUGCAGCGGCUCGAUAUCGAGACAGUGUUAAAGCAGAAAUGCGCCUAAGGAGGAGCCUGCGUCUGAUUAGCUUGUUGGUGAGGUAAUGGCUCACCAAGGCUGCGAUCAGUAGCUGGUCUGAGAGGACGGCCAGCCACAAUGGCACUGAAACACGGGCCAU